GACAGAGGGUGCAAACGUUGUUCGGAUUUACUGGGCGUAAAGCGCGUGUAGGCGGCUUUGCAAGUCGGAUGUGAAAGCCCACGGCUCAACCGUGGAAGUGCAUCCGAAACGGCAUGGCUUGAGUCUCGGAGAGGAAGGUGGAAUGCUUGGUGUAGAGGUGAAAUUCGUAGAUAUCAAGCAGAACACCUGCGGCGAAGGCGGCCUUCUGGACGAUGACUGACGCUGAGACGCGAAAGCGUGGGGAGCAAACAGG
rnacentral:rRNA from 1 species